rnacentral:rRNA from 1 species
GAAAUCACAUGAGUCAUGCUUUAUGUUGGUGAUUGUGAUAACGUAAGGGAAAAAAAUGAUAUUACCUUACUAUUAGUGUUGUCCAAAACUGGUGCCAGAAGACUCGGUAAGGCCAGAGACGCGAACGUUAGUCGUCCUAAUCAGGCGUAAAGGGUGUGUAGGCUGCUUUAAAAGUUAGAUCUUUCUCCCAAACCUGUAAAGGGAAGGGACAAGCUCUUUUUAUGUUGUAUAUUAAUAAAAAUAAAAUAGUAAUUUUAAUUUAUAAAUAACCGUACUAAGGUAAAGAUAGAAUUAAUUAAAGCUAGGAUCAAAACGAGGAUAAGCCAAAUAAUACUUAGAGUAGGGAUUAUAUCCGCAGAUACUAAGGGGAAUACUAAAGGUGAAAGCUUUUUAUCUAGUAAUGAUUGACGCUGAGAAACGAAGGUGAGAAUAGGAAAUAGGAUUAGAUACCCAGAUACCUCUCACUGUCAACGAUGAAUGGUGGUUGUUAGUUUUUUAAAAACUGGUAACGAUGUUAACACGAUAACCAUUCCGCCUUGCGAGUACGGUUGCAAAACUGAAACCAAAAAAAUUAGUCGGUCU